UACGGGGGGGGCAAGCGUUGUUCGGAAUUACUGGGCGUAAAGGGCUCGUAGGCGGCCAACUAAGUCAGACGUGAAAUCCCUCGGCUUAACCGGGGAACUGCAUCCGAUACUGGAUGGCUUGAAUCCGGGAGAGGGAUGCGGAAUUCCAGGUGUAGCGGUGAAAUGCGUAGAUAUCUGGAGGAACACCGGUGGCGAAGGCGGCAUCCUGGACCAACACUGACGCUGAGUGAGCGAAAGCCAGGGGAGCAAACGGG
rnacentral:rRNA from 1 species